UGGUUAGGGAUUGCAGAUUUGACAAUUAUUGUACCUGAAGGUGAGGAAUUUCUGCGAAUUUGAUCGGUGCAGCUUGAAUUCAAAUACUCUACAAGUUCCACUUUUGGAAUUUGGUAAUGCGGACUGGGCUUGGCUCCAGAAUUCUGAUGUUUUCAGUUGCUGCCUUGGGUGCCUUAUUCUCGUGCUCUUUCUAGUUUGCUUCAGGAGUUACCGGACUUGUCAAGCCAACAACAAAGGAUCUCGAAAGUCUCAAAGAUGGAAAGAAAUUAUAUGUUCUCGCGAACCGAAAAUGCUUGAAUGUGGCUAUUACGUCAUGAAGUACAUGUAUCAAAUAGUUUUACUUGGAUUACAAAGUAUUAGUAAUGUGGAAGAGAUAUUUUCUCCAAACCCGUACACUCAAGAGGAGAUCGAUGAUGUUCGAGAAAAAAUGGAGUAGAUAUUUUAUUAGUAG